UACGUAGGGGGCAAGCGUUGUCCGGAUUUAUUGGGCGUAAAGAGCGUGUAGGCGGCUAGGUAGGUCCGCUGUGAAAACUCGAGGCUCAACCUCGAGCUGUCGGUGGAAACCAUCUGGCUAGAGUCCGGAAGAGGAGAGUGGAAUUCCCGGUGUAGCGGUGAAAUGCGCAGAUAUCGGGAAGAACACCCAUGGCGAAGGCAGCUCUCUGGGACGGUACUGACGCUGAGACGCGAAAGCGUGGGGAGCGAACGGG
rnacentral:rRNA from 1 species